rnacentral:rRNA from 1 species
GACAGAGGGUGCCAACGUUGUUCGGAAUUACUGGGCGUAAAGCGUGUGUAGGCGGUCCACUAAGUCGGAUGUGAAAGCCCUGGGCUCAACCCAGGAAGUGCACUCGAGACUGGUGGACUAGAGUAUCGGAGAGGUUGGUGGAAUUCUCGGUGUAGAGGUGAAAUUCGUAGAUAUCGAGAGGAACACCGGUGGCGAAGGCGGCCAACUGGACGAAUACUGACGCUGAGACACGAAAGCGUGGGGAGCGAACGGG